GCCGAACCGUACAAACGUUAUUCGGAAUUACUGGGCUUAAAGGGUGCGUAGGCGGCGGUGCAAGUUGGGUGUGAAAUCCCUCGGCUCAACCGAGGAACUGCGCUCAAAACUGCAUCGCUUGAGGGAGAUAGAGGUGAGUGGAACUUAGGGUGGAGCGGUGAAAUGCGUUGAUAUCCUAAGGAACACCAGUGGCGAAAGCGACUCACUGGGUCUCUUCUGACGCUGAGGCACGAAAGCUAGGGUAGCGAACGGG
rnacentral:rRNA from 1 species